rnacentral:lncRNA from 1 species
AGAUUAGAGCUAGGCGGCUAGAACUAGAUUUCUUACUUGCAAAUCAAUAAAAAUACUACAGUAAAAAUUACGUGAGCUCAAGGCGCCGACGACGAGAGAGCAAGAAAUAAGAAGGGAGAGAAGAAAGGCAAAGCCUAUAAAGAAGGAACCGUUGGGAAAAUUCCCGAUGAAGCCGCAAACCUAUUAACUUCAAGACUUUGGGGGAGAUUCAAAAUUCAAAAAUCUUUCCUUCGCUGGCAAAGUGGAUCCCAGUCAAUCUCCUAUAUUUAAGGAAGUAAGUUCUUCAGAAUAAGGCGAGAAUCGGUACCAAAACUGGUAACCUCAGAAGAUCCCGAACUCUAUUCGCGCCAGCAUUGG